UCCGGAAUAGUAUAAUAUAUUACAUUAGUCUUGUAAACUAAGAAUGAACACUCCUUCUUUCGGAU
rnacentral:tRNA from 1 species